ACUCACUUCUCCUCCCACUCCUGUUUCCCUGAGUACUGUACUCUGUCUGAUCUCAGACUCUGAUAGGAACUCUGAAAGAGAACAAGAAAUGGACCACAAGUGAGUCAAGAUGGGACAGCAGAGGAGCUAGGGAAGGCGAGCGAGCUGCCAAGAGUUAGAGGAAGCAGUGAGAACCAGACAGAGACAGAACACAGGACUUGGUGUUGGCUCACAGCUCAGGGACAGAGCAGAGACCCAUGUGCUGGGGCACCCGACUGGCUUUCUUAAGAACAGUAACCCUGGCCUGAGCUGAAGAAGCUGGUAAGGUGUUCUCUGCCUUCCCAGCGGAGGGAGCCUUGAGCUGGGUGACUGGAGUAACUGGGAACAAGAAAUGAGGAUGCCAGGAAAGCUAUGCCCCCACCCCACUCAGCAUGUAGAGAGCUAAUUCUUACUGACAUCACAUUAUGCUGAGUGUACCUUGUGUCUUGUUAAUGCUGAGCAAGUGCACCGGAAAUUCAGUGCCCAAGUCACAGUCUUAGGAAUACUACUUUGCAUUUCAACUACCUUGAAAUACCACUUCCAUUUUCCUAAUUUCUCUCUUCCCCGGUCCUCCAAGAAGUAAGUGGGAGACAAAUGAGAAAUCUGGGUGAAGCCAGGAAGGAACCCACUUGAUCUCAUUCUCUUCUGUCUCAAGCACAAGCCUUGCAUAGCUUAGACCACACAAAGGAUUCAUCCACAUCUGGGAGGUACGGGUUUUCUGCCCGUGGAGUGUGACGUUCACAGUAACAGGCUCCAGUCAGCCACUUCCCCUCUUCAUUACCUCCAGCUUUACAUAGCAACACCGGCUUUCCUUCCUCGUGUAAAACCGUGAAAUGAAAGAAAGAUGUCUCCUCACCAAGGAAGGGGCAGGUAUCAUCAGUUGCACAUUUGAAGUCUGGAGCCCUGGAUCUAGUGUCAGUGGCUCUGUUUCUUCUGACAGAUGAUCUAGCUUCCAUCUAAGACAUCUUGCAGUGGGAUGGGAUUGCAGCUCAUUUGUUAGAGUGCUGGCGUAGCAUUCACAACACCCUGUGUUCAACCCCCAGCAUGGUGUAAGCACUGGGGUCGGAGUGGGGUGGA
rnacentral:lncRNA from 1 species